rnacentral:pre_miRNA from 1 species
GUGCCCACUGGAGUUCCCUCAGACACUUCAGUUGAUCUGUAUAGAGCUCAUAACCUCUUUCAAAACCUCUUCGUGAUCUACUGAAGUGUUUGGGGGAACUCUGGUUGUCAU